rnacentral:lncRNA from 1 species
UGUACCAAAUCAAUUUCCUAAAAUACUAGGACAUAUUUAAUGCACAAUUGACCAAAUGGUUGGGUGUAAAAAGUUUUGAUCCACCUCUCGUGAAAAGGACAAAUUCUCGCCGAUUCAGCCGGAAGCGGGUCAAAUUUGAACUGUAGCUACCUCGUAGUUUGCUCUUGAUUUUUUUCCAAAAAUCAUUUCUAGGUACAUAAGUAUCUAUUUAAUCAGAGAAACAUCAAAACGUCUCCAAGAUUCAACAACUAGCUACGAAUGGUCAAGACCGCUGUUUUGACCGCAUUUUGAAAUGGGCAGAAAAAAUUCAAAAAAAUUCAAAAAAUUGGAAAACCUUCGCAUUGUGUCAUCAUAUGUGACCAAGUUUCCAGCAAAAAUAAUAAACUUGUAAUAUGGCCAUUAUUUUAAAAAAGUGUUCUCAGAAACGAGCUAUCAAGUCUGAAGAUUCAUGGCUUUCAAGCCAAAUGAUCAAUCUUAUGGCCACAUUCAUGACAUAGUUUGUUCAAAUGAUCUCAUAUUGUGCACAAGGGUGCAUCUUGGAAUGGCAGACAAUGUUGCCUAAGGAAGUUUUCAUUUUCUUUCUACAAAAAAUUCAUUUUCCUUUUUUCGAGUGCCCGAAAUGAGUUUUUUUGUGAAGGACCUAUAAUAUAUUUGUUGCAAAAUUGUGCCAAAUCAAUUUUCUAAAAUGCUAGGACAUAUUUAAUGCACAAUUAGUCAAAUGGUUGGCUGUAAAAAGUUUUGAUCCACCUCUCAUGAAAAAGACAAAUUCCUGCCGAUUCAGUUGGAAGCGGGUCAAAUUUGAACCGUAGCUACCUCGUAGUUUGCUCUUUAUUUUUUCCAAAAAUCAUUUCUAGGUACAUAAGUAUCUAUCUAAUCAGAGAAAUAUCACAAGGUCUCCAAGAUUCAACAACUAGCAAGGAACGGUUAUUCCCGCCGUUUUGACCGCAUUUUGAAACGGGCAUAAAAAAUUAAAAAAAUCAAAAAAAUUGGAAAACCUUCACAUUGUGUCAUCAUAUGUGACCAAGUUUCCAGCAAAAAUAAUAAACUUGUAAUACAUCUAUUAUUUUAAAAUUGUGUUCUCAGAAACGAGCUAUCAAGUGUGAAGAUUCAAGGCUUUCAAGCCAAAUGAUCAAUCUUAUGGCCACAUUCACGACAUAGUUUGUUCAAAUGAUCUCAUAUUGUGCACAAGGGUGCAUCUUGGAAUGGCAGACAAUGUUUCCUAAGAAGUUUUCAUUUUCUUUCGAAGAAAAAUUCAUUUUCCAUUUUUCGAGUGCCCGAAUGAGUUUUUUGUGAAGGACCUAUAAUACAUUUGUUGCAAAAUUGUACCAAAUCAAUUUCCUAAAAUACUAGGACAUAUUUAAUGCACAAUUGACCAAAUGGUUGGGUGUAAAAAGUUUUGAUCCUCCUCUCGUGAAAAGGACAAAUUCUCGCCGAUUCAGCCAGAAGCGGGUCAAAUUUGAACUGUAGCUACCUUAGUUUGCUCUUUAUAUUUUCCAAAAAUCAUUUCUAGGUACAUAAGUAUCUAUUUAAUCGGAGAAACAUCAAAAGGUCUCCAAGAUUCAACAACUAGCGAGGAACGGUCAAGCCCGCCAUUUUGACCGCAUUUUGAAACGGGCAUAAAAAAUUCAAAAAAAAUAUCCAAAAAUUGGAAAACCUUCGCAUUGUGUUAUCAUAUGUGACCAAGUUUCCAGCAAAAAUAAUAAACUUGUAAUACGACAAUUAUUCUAAAAAAGUGCUCUCAGAAACGAGCUCUCAAGUGUGAAGAUUCAUGGCUUUCAAACCAAAUGAUCAAUCUUAUGGCCACAUUCAUGACAUAGUUUGUUCAAAUGAUCUCAUAUUGUGUGCACGGGUGCAUCUUGGAAUGGCAGAUAAUGUUUCCUAAGGAAGUUUUUGCUUUCUUUGGAAAAAAAUUCAUUUUCCUUUUUUUUGUGCCCGAAAUGAGUUUUUUUGUGAAGGACCUAUAAUAUAUUUGUCGCAAAAUUGUACCAAAUCAAUUUCCUAAAAUACUAGGACAUAUUUAAUGCACAAUUGACCAAAUGGUUGGGUGUAAAAAGUUUUGAUCCACCUCUCGUGAAAAGGACAAAUUCUCGCCGAUUCAGCCGGAAGCGGGUCAAAUUUGAACUGUAGCUCUCUCGUAGUUUGCUCUUUAUUUUUUUCCAAAAAUCAUUUCUAGGUACAUGAGUAUCCAUUUAAUCAGAGAAACAUCAAAACGUCUCCAAGAUUCAACAACUAGCUACGAACGGUCAAGCCCGCCGUUUUGACCGCAUUUUGAAACGGGCAUAAAAAAUUCAUAAAAAUCAAAAAAUUAGAAAACCUUCUCAUUGUGUCAUCAUAUGUGACCAAGUUUCCAGCAAAAAUAAUAAACUUGUAAUACGGCCAUUAUUUUAAAAAAGUGUUCUCAGAAACGAGCUAUCAAGUGUGAAGAUUCAUGGCUUUCAAACCAAAUGAUCAAUCUUAUGGCCACAUUCAUGACAUAGUUUGUUCAAAUGACCUCAUAUUGUGCACAAGGGUGCAUCUUGGAAUGGCAGACAAUGUUUCCUAAGGAAGUUUCCAUUUUCUUUGGAAGAAAAAUUCAUUUUCCUUUUUUCGAGUGCCCGAAAUGAGUUUUUUUGUGAAGGACCUAUAAUAUAUUUGUUGCAAAAUUGUGCCAAAUCAAUUUCCUAAAAUACUAGGACAUAUUUAAUGCACAAUUGGCCAAAUGGUUGGGUGUAAAAAGUUUUGAUCCACCUCUCGUGAAAAAGACAAAUUCCUGCCGAUUCAGUUGGAAGCGGGUCAAAUUUGAACCGUAGCUACCUCGUAGUUUGCUCUUUAUUUUUUCCAAAAAUCAUUUCUAGGUACAUAGGUAUCUAUUUAAUCAGAGAAAUAUCACAAGGUCUCCAAGAUUCAACAACUAGCUAGGAACGGUCAAGCCCGCCGUUUUGACCGCAUUUUGAAACCGGCAUAAAAAAUUCAAAGAAAUAUAAAAAAAUUGGAAAACCUUCGCAUUGUGUCAUCAUAUGUGACCAAGUUUCCAGCAAAAAUAAUAAACUUGUAAUACGACAAUUAUUUUAAAAAGUGCUCUCAGAAACGAGCUAUCAAGUGUGAAGAUUCAUGGCUUUCAAACCAAAUGAUCAAUCUUAUGGCCACAUUAAUCACAUAGUUUGUUCAAAUGAUCUCAUAUUGUGCACAAGGGUGCAUCUUGGAAUGGCAGACAAUGUUUCCUAAGGAAGUUUCUAUUUUCUUUGGAAGAAAAAUUCAUUUUCCAUUUUUCGAGUGCCCGAAAUGAGUUUUUUUGUGAAGGACCUAUAAUAUAUUUGUAGCAAAAUUGUACCAAAUCAAUUUUCUAAAAUACUAGGACAUAUUUAAUGCACAAUUGACCAAAUGGUUGGGUGUAAAAAGUUUUGAUCCACCUCUCGUGAAAAAGACAAAUUCCUGCUGAUUCAGUUGGAAGCGGGUCAAAUUUGAACCGUAGCUACCUCGUAGUUUGCUCUUUAUUUUUUCCAAAAAUCAUUUCUAGGUACAUAAGUAUCUAUUUAAUCAGAGAAAUAUCACAACGUCUCCAAGAUUCAACAACUAGCUAGGAACGGUCAAGCCCGUCGUUUUGACCGCAUUUUGAAACGGGCAUAAAAAAUUCAAAAAAAAAUCAAAAAAUUGGAAAACCUUCGCAUUGUGUCAUCAUACAUGAGCAAGUUUCCAGAAAAAAUAAUAAACUUGUAAUACGGCAAUUACUUUUAAAAAAGUGUUCUCAGAAACGAGCUAUCAAGUGUGAAGAUUCUUGGCUUUCAAGACAAGUGAUCAAUCUUGUGGCCACAUUCAUCACAUAGUUUUUUCAAAUGAUCUCAUAUUGUGUGCACGGGUGCAUCUUGGAAUGGCAGAUAAUGUUUCCUAAGGAAGUUUUUGCUUUCUUUGGAAAAAAAUUCAUUUUCCUUUUUUUUUGUGCCCGAAAUGAGUUUUUUUGUGAAGGACCUAUAAUAUAUUUGUCGCAAAAUUGUACCAAAUCAAUUUCCUAAAAUACUAGGACAUAUUUAAUGCACAAUUGACCAAAUGGUUGGGUGUAAAAAGUUUUGAUCCACCUCUCGUGAAAAGGACAAAUUCUCGCCGAUUCAGCCGGAAGCGGGUCAAAUUUGAACUGUAGCUAUCUCGUAGUUUGCUCUUUAUUUUUUUCCAAAAAUCAUUUCUAGGUACAUGAGUAUCCAUUUAAUCAGAGAAACAUCAAAACGUCUCCAAGAUUCAACAACUAGCUACGAACGGUCAAGCCCGCCGUUUUGACCGCAUUUUGAAACGGGCAUAAAAAAUUCAUAAAAAUCAAAAAAUUAGAAAACCUUCUCAUUGUGUCAUCAUAUGUGACCAAGUUUCCAGCAAAAAUAAUAAACUUGUAAUACGGCCAUUAUUUUAAAAAAGUGUUCUCAGAAACGAGCUAUCAAGUGUGAAGAUUCAUGGCUUUCAAAACAAAUGAUCAAUCUUAUGGCCACAUUCAUGACAUAGUUUGUUCAAAUGAUCUCAUAUUGUGCACAAGGGUGCAUCUUGGAAUGGCAGACAAUGUUUCCUAUGGAAGUUUCCAUUUUCUUUGGAAGAAAAAUUCAUUUUCCUUUUUUCGAGUGCCCGAAAUGAGUUUUUUUGUGAAGGACCUAUAAUAUAUUUGUUGCAAAAUUGUGCCAAAUCAAUUUCCUAAAAUACUAGGACAUAUUUAAUGCACAAUUGGCCAAAUGGUUGGGUGUAAAAAGUUUUGAUCCACCUCUCGUGAAAAAGACAAAUUCCUGCCGAUUCAGUUGGAAGCGGG